rnacentral:rRNA from 1 species
CACGGGUGAGUAACACGUAUCCAACCUGCCGUCUACUCUUGGACAGCCUUCUGAAAGGAAGAUUAAUACAAGAUGGCAUCAUGAGUUCACAUGUUCACAUGAUUAAAGGUAUUCCGGUAGACGAUGGGGAUGCGUUCCAUUAGAUAGUAGGCGGGGUAACGGCCCACCUAGUCUUCGAUGGAUAGGGGUUCUGAGAGGAAGGUCCCCCACAUUGGAACUGAGACAUGGUCCAA